UACGUAGGGUGCAAUCGUUGUCCGGAUUUAUUGGGUUUAAAGGGUGCGUAGGUGGCUGAUUAAGUCAUGGGUGAAAGCCCGCAGCUCAACUGUGGAAUUGCCUGUGAUACUGAUUAGCUUGAGUGCGGUUGAGGCAGCUGGAAUUGGUGGCGUAGCGGUGAAAUGCAUAGAUACCACCAGGAACACCGAUUGCGAAGGCAGGUUGCUAAGCCGUAACUGACACUGAGGCACGAAAGCGUGGGGAGAAAACAGG
rnacentral:rRNA from 1 species